rnacentral:rRNA from 1 species
UACGAAGGGGGCUAGCGUUGUUCGGAUUUACUGGGCGUAAAGCGCACGUAGGCGGAUCUUUAAGUCAGAGGUGAAAUCCUGGAGCUCAACUCCAGAACUGCCUUUGAUACUGAAGAUCUUGAGUUCGGGAGAGGUGAGUGGAACUGCGAGUGUAGAGGUGAAAUUCGUAGAUAUUCGCAAGAACACCAGUGGCGAAGGCGGCUCACUGGCCCGAUACUGACGCUGAGGCACGAAAGCGUGGGGAGCAAACAGG